UAGGGGCGGCAGGUAGCCUAGUGGUUAGAGUGUAGGGCGGCAGGUAGCCUAGUGGUUAGAGUGUAGGGGCGGCAGGUAGCCUAGUGGUUAGAGUGUAGGGGCGGCAGGUAGCCUAGUGGUUAGAGUGUAGGGGCGGCAGGUAGCCUAGUGGUUAGAGUGUAGGGGCGGCAGGUAGCCUAGUGGUUAGAGUGUAGGGGCGGCAGGUAGCCUAGUGGUUAGAGUGUAGGGGCGGCAGGUAGCCUCGUGGUUAGAGUGUAGGGGCGGCAGGUAGCCUAGUGGUUAGAGUGUAGGGGCGGCAGGUAGCCUAGUGGUUAGAGUGUAGGGGCGGCAGGUAGCCUAGUGGUUAGAGUGUAGGGGCGGCAGGUAGCCUAGUGGUUAGAGUGUAGGGGCGGCAGGUAGCCUAGUGGUUAGAGUGUAGGGGCGGCAGGUAGCCUAGUGGUUAGAGUGUAGGGGCGGCAGGUAGCCUAGUGGUUAGAGUGUAGGGGCGGCAGGUAGCCUAGUGGUUAGAGUGUAGGGGCGGCAGGUAGCCUAGUGGUUAGAGUGUAGGGGCGGCAGGUAGCCUAGUGGUUAGAGUGUAGGGCGGCAGGUAGUCUAGUGGUUAGAGUGUAGGGCGGCAGGUAGCCUAGUGG